AUGAGUUGUUUGGUAUGGAACUGUCGCGGGCUUGGGAACCCGGAGACAGUUCGAGAGAUUCACAACAUAGUGAGGCUAGAAGCGCCUGCGUUGGUCUUUGUGUGUGAGACGAAGAUUGAUGGGAAGAGAGUUGGUGAAUUGACUACCAGGUUGGGUUUUGCUGGUUGUGUGCCCGUAAGCAGUGUAGGCUUAAGUGGCGGUUUGGCUUUGUUUUGGUCUCAUGAAGUGGAUGUGACGGUAAAUAAUGUUUCCUCACAACAUAUUGAUGUUAAAGUUGAAAAUAUAGGAGGGGAUAGAAAGACAUGGCAUUUUACUGGCUUCUAUGCCAAAGCAAGAAGGAGUGAGAGAUCUAUGAGUUGGGAUCUGUUACGUUGGUUGCAUGGUCAGUCUGAUUUACCGUGGCUUUGCGCAGGAGAUUUCAAUGAAAUUCUUGAUAACUCAGAGUAUUUUGGUGCAAAUGAAAGGGUUGAAUGGCAGAUGGAAGGAUUUCGGUCAGUAAUUGAUUAUUGUCAGUUUCAGGACUUGGGGUACUCAGGGAUCCCGUACACUUGGGACAAUAUGCAGGAGGGUGUUGACAAUGUGAAAGUACGGCUGGACCGUUUUUUUGGCGGAUCAAGCUUUUAUACAAUUAUAUGA
rnacentral:rRNA from 1 species